CAAGGCCCGGGAACGUAUUCACCGCGGCGUGCUGAUCCGCGAUUACUAGCGAUUCCAGCUUCGUGCAGGCGAGUUGCAGCCUGCAGUCCGAACUGAGAACAGCUUUAAGAGAUCCGCUUACCCUCGCGGGUUUGCUUCUCGUUGUACUGCCCAUUGUAGCACGUGUGUAGCCCAGGUCAUAAGGGGCAUGAUGACUUGACGUCAUCCCCACCUUCCUCCGGUUUGUCACCGGCAGUCUCUUUAGAGUGCCCAACUUAAUGAUGGCAACUAAAGACAAGGGUUGCGCUCGUUGCGGGACUUAACCCAACAUCUCACGACAC
rnacentral:rRNA from 1 species